UACAGAGGUCUCAAGCGUUGUUCGGAUUCAUUGGGCGUAAAGGGUGCGUAGGUGGCGGGGUAAGUCAGGUGUGAAAUCUCGGAGCUCAACUCCGAAACUGCACUUGAUACUGCCUUGCUCGAGUACUGGAGAGGAGAUUGGAAUUUACGGUGUAGCGGUGAAAUGCGUAGAGAUUGGGAAGAACACCGGUGGCGAAAGCGCUCUGCUGGGCCAUAACUGACACUCAGGGACGAAAGCUAGGGGAGCGAAUGGG
rnacentral:rRNA from 1 species